UUGAAGAUYGUAACCUUGGGGUUGGCUCUYGUCUAUGUUUCUUGGAACAGGACGUCACAGAGGGUGAGAAUCCCGUGCGAUGAGAUGCCCAAUUCUAUGUAAGGUGCUUUCGAAGAGUCGAGUUGUUUGGGAAUGCAGCUCUAAGUGGGUGGUAAAUUCCAUCUAAAGCUAAAUAUUGGCGAGAGACCGAUAGCGAACAAGUACAKUGAYGGAAAGAUGAAAAGAACUUUGAAAAGMGAGUGAAAAAGUACGUGAAAUUGUUGAAAGGGAAGGGUUUGAGAUCAGACUCGAUAUUUUGUGASCCUUGCCUUCGUGGCGGGGUGACCCGCAGCUUAUCGGGCCAGCAUCGGUUUGGGCGGUAGGAUAAUGGCGUAGGAAUGUGACUUUACUUCGGUGAAGUGUUAUAGCCUGCGUUGAUGCUGCCUGCCUAGACCGAGGACUGCGA
rnacentral:rRNA from 1 species